GCUCCGGUCCUAUGCGGCGCAAGGCUGUGAACCUCGUCAGGUCCGGAAGGAAGCAGCGAUAAGCGGAUUCUUGCGGGUGCCAUUGGUCGCCGGAGUUCC
rnacentral:SRP_RNA from 1 species